GAGUAACACGUGGGUGAUCUGCCCUGCACUUCGGGAUAAGCCUGGGAAACUGGGUCUAAUACCGGAUAUGACCUCCUAUCGCAUGGUGGGUGGUGGAAAGAUUUAUCGGUGCAGGAUGGGCCCGCGGCCUAUCAGCUUGUUGGUGGGGUAAUGGCCUACCAAGGCGACGACGGGUAGCCGACCUGAGAGGGUGACCGGCCACACUGGGACUGAGACACGGCCCAGACUCCUACGGGAGGCAGCAGUGGGGAAUAUUGCACAAUGGGCGAAAGCCUGAUGCAGCGACGCCGCGUGAGGGAUGACGGCCUUCGGGUUGUAAACCUCUUUCAGCAGGGACGAAGCGCAAGUGACGGUACCUGCAGAAGAAGCACCGGCUAACUACGUGCCAGCAGCCGCGGUAAUACGUAGGGUGCAAGCGUUGUCCGGAAUUACUGGGCGUAAAGAGUUCGUAGG
rnacentral:rRNA from 1 species